AAAGCAUGCAACUUUUUUUUUCCAAAGUUUACUCAGGUUUUCUUGUGCCAUUCUUAGGAUGUGAACAAUGUAAAGCUGAAUUUUUGACUGGUGAAAGCAGCAGCCAGGAGGGAGGGCAGACAUAGCGAGUCAUGCACCGAGCACGGGGUUUGCACCAUCACCUUCUGCUUUGCACAUGUGCUGCGGCCCAGCCCAUCUCACACGGGCGCAUUGCAGCGCCACAGGCUCACUCCAGUUUCACCUAUGGCUGCACAACACGGAGAGCUGCUGAUUAUCUGUGAUCAUCAAACCGUUUGUGUUGGAGGCACAGACCUCAGAGAGGGACCUCGUGUUCAGAUGAGCUGCUCUAGGGGGCAAAACCCUUUAGGUUCAAACUCCUCAUGUGGUCUGAAACCACGUUAACUUGUGGGCAGAGAUCUAGCUGGCUGACUGGGGAUGCUGGAGGCAAGUAAAGACCUUGUUGUGGGACCUGGCCUUCACCAGCAGGUUCUCUUCCUGAGGAGCACCAAGCUGCUUUCUCUCUGUCCCUACCAGCAGAGAUUACACCCUCAGGAUUUGGUGACUGUGCUCGUCUCAUUCUACAGGGCUACACAGCAGGAGAAGGUCACUUCCAGAGAGAAAAAUACGCAGCAUACUAAAGGGGAUCUUGGUUUCCACAACAGCCUUGUGCAUCCAUCGAGCCCUGAAGAUCAUUCUCAGUUGCAUUUAAUCCUCAAAUGCAGUGGUAUUUUCAAAGGAAUCGAGAGCCACCUUGUGGAGCCAGGAUUCAUGAAGGGGCUCCAAAUACUCCUGCUGGGAACAGCUGCUCCUGGAAAGGAAUUCAAAUCCCACAGGAUGCUGGAGGUUGCCAAUUAAGUUCAGGACUCAAAGCUGGACUUCCCAAGUUGCUUCUGCCAAAAGGAAAAUGCAGUGGGGUUCAGGGGAAUCUGGGAGAACCGGUAGGAUCACCUGCCCCAGGAUGCAGAGCUCUUCAGCACUGACAGGCAUGUUCAAGGUGACUAGACACGGUCCUGGAAAAGUACUGCUGCAUGGAGAAAACACCCAUGGCUGAGAAGAAGUGGUGACAGCCACCAGUGUCCCAGUGCUGGGGAACUCUGCACACUUGUGCUCUUCUAACUCCACUGCACUUUGUUUGGUUCCAUCAACAUUUACUCAUCAUUAUCUGGGUGAUUCUUACUCUAAUAUUGCAUGUAGCUGCUAAUAUGACAUGUUAAUAUGGCAUCCAGCAGCCCUAGCAGUGAUGACACACGAUAUUAUGCAGCACCAAUUAGCACCACACAAUUAAAACCACGGGCUAUUCUCACCCAGCAUCAGCCCCCUUGAGGCACCCGUUGGACCUCCCCAUCCUUCUGCAUUACCCACCAAUGCGCCCAGGUCCCUGAGCAAAUGCAGCCCCACGGAUGGGUUUGCCUUUGCCCGAGGCAGGAAUAGCCAAGGCUGCCUUCUCCAGCAGGUUAUUUAUGUGUGCUGCAGGGACAGGGAUCAUUCUGGAUCCUCUCAGCUAUAAAAAUUAGGAAGCUUUCUAUUCCGAGGCGUAAGUGUUGUUUAACUGCUGUAUUGCACAGAGGCUCACAUCAUUAUGUUGUCUUCUUUGCUUUAGUGCCAAAUUAGAAAUAAGUAAAUAUGGCCAAACAAACACAACACCGGCUAUGGGAAGUUUUGUGAUGAAAUUCUGGAAGCAAGAGGUUGAGAGAGAUCAGAGGACAGGCUUAAAAAAAAAAAAAAAGAAAGAAAAAGGAAAAAAAA